rnacentral:rRNA from 1 species
AUGGGGGAAACCCUGAUGCAGCAACGCCGCGUGAGUAUGAAGGCCUUUGGGUGUGUAAGCCUCUGUCCUAGGGGAAGAAAAAAAUGACGGUACCCGAGAGAAGCCCCGGCUAACUACGUGCCAGCAGCCGCGGUAAUACGUAGGGGCAAGCGUUAUCCGGAAUUAUUGGGCGUAAAGAGUGCGUAGUGGUCUACUAAGCGCGAGGUGAAAGGCAAUGGCUCAACCAUUGUUAGCCUUGUGAACUGGCAGACUUGAGUGCAAGAGAGGAAAGCGGAAUUCCUAGUGUAGCGGUGAAAUGCGCAGAUAUUAGGAGGAACACCGGCGGCGAAGCGGCUUUCUGGAUUGUAACUGACACUGAGGCACGAAAGCGUGGGUAGCAAACAGGAUUAGAUACCCUGGUAGUCCACGCCGUAAACGAUGAGCACUAGGUGUCGGGACAUGAGUCUCGGUGCCGCAGUUAACGCAAUAAGUGCUCCGCCUGGGGAGUACGCACGCCAGUGUAAAACUCAAGGAUGACGGGGACCGCACAGCAGCGGAGCAUGUGGUUUAAUUCGAGCACGCGAGA